rnacentral:lncRNA from 10 species
UGCACCCAGAGGUUGCAGUAAGUCUGGAUGCCACAUCAAACUGUUUGUGGUACUUCUAAACUUCGUGGAAGAGCCCUGUUUCAUAAAUCUGAGACAGCCUUGGUCUGAGGGAGCAAAGACAGAGAAUUCACGUGCUGCCCAGGCAUAGCCACAUAGCAGGUGGACAUCCCUGGACACUUUUCUGAGAUUUUAUGUCAUAGACCCUCAUUGGAUUUUCCUGGAAGUACGGAGAGUUACAUCCAGAGAACUCUGAACAUUUUGGAAGGACCCCAAUCCUGCAAACAAUGAAUGGCAAUAAAUCCUGGGACUGGAAAGGGGCUUCUCAACCCCAAGGCAACCAUAAAGUCCUAUACAAAGAAAGAUACAGCAGUGUGAAAGAGGCCUGGAUGAAAAAACAAAGACAGAGCCAGUGAGCCAGAGCCAGAGCCAGAGGACAAGAGAGAAAGGCAGAGAAUGGAAAACACAGACAGAGAAGGCAGAUGCGUAGAGAGACAGAGAUUCAAUGAGAAAAUAAGGAAGGAAGAAAGAAAGAAAACAAAAACGUUCUCAGCACUACAACUUCUGCCUUGUUCUGUUCCAGAACAGUAUGAGCUCAGUACUUUUUCAGACUCUCAAUUUUCUACAACUAAUAAUUUGCUCUUUCAGUUAGUGGCAAAGGCUUAACGACAAAGGUUCAUCUUUAAUAUUAGAGAGGCACUUUUAAAAUUUAUGAUGCUAAGCCUUUUGUUCUGGAUAUGGUAUGUUGCACAGGUCUAGGGACUGGGAUUUCAGAUGUCUAUUCCGUACCCUUAUUCUUUUAUUUAUUAAAUCUUUUAGUGUGUAUUUUUUUCUAUUUUCUCUUCUUUUAUUAGUAUGUAUUUCUUGAGUCAUUAACAUACAACAUAUAUAGGACUUCCUCUGAGGAUACAAUAAUGUAUAUGAUGGACAAGAUACGUAAAAGUGCCUUGAAGAGACUUGGUCUUGUGAGGGGACAGACAGGAAACAGGCAAUUAUCACCUAACUUAGGUCUGUUGUUUCAAGGUAAAAUAAGAAUAAUAACAUCUGUGUUGGCUGGGAUGUUGUGAGUGUUUGUGGAGAUAAUAGUACAAAUGAAAUUACUGAGGGACAAUGGUGAAGAUAGGGCCAUAUCAUGGAGCUUACACUAGUGAUGGAAGGAGAUGGGAGAUACAAAAGCAAGUCAAUAUUUCAGAUUUCGUAAAUGAAUGGCAAGCAUAGAGCAGUGAGGCAGAGAAUGACUGGAGAAAGAGACUAUGUUAAACUGGAUAGUAAAGGAAGAGCAGGACCCCACUAAACUAUAUGGAGUUUUGUGCAAAUCACAUGAACACACGUAGAACAUUUUAGGCUGCUCAUGUGACUUUGGAUUUGUCCUAAGGGCAAUAGUAAGCCUUUGAACUGCUUUAGCAUGAUAGGAUUUUAAAAGAUCACUGGCUGCUGUGUGAACAAAAAUAAUGUUGUAAAGAAAAGGAUAUUAGCUGUAUCAGAUCAGCUGGAGACUACUGAAAUAACCCAAGCUGGCUUGGACUACAUAGGAGUAGUGUAAACUCAUUCAUUCAUGCAAGAAAUACUUACUGAGUGCCUACUCAGUACCAGACCCUUUUCUAGGACAUGGAGUUAUAGCAGUGAACAAUAUAGAAAAAAAUCCCCGAAUUCAUGGAGACUCCAGUGAGCAGAGACAAAAAAAUAGCAACUAAAUAAGUUAAAAGGAAUUGAGUACCCUAUAAAAGUUUAUCAGGGAAAUGUUAUAAGGAAUGACUUUCGGAGUAAUGGGUAGUGAUCUUAAAUGUAUGGUCAAUGAAAAUCAGAAGUUGUAGAGAAGUGGAUAAAUUCACAGUACGUUUUAAAGUAGACCUAAUAAGACUUAAUGAAUUUGAUGUGGCAAGUGAGAAAAAUACAUCAAGGAUGAUGACUUUUAUAAUUUGACUUGAGUAUCUGGGAACAAACAAGUACAGUGCCAUAAUAAGGGCAGAAAAUUUUCCAUUCACUCAGCAACUUAUGAACUCAUUUGCUUAGUCUUUAUUGCCUCUUGCAUUAUGUAGUUUUCACUUUGCUGGAGUACUUGUAUAGAAGAUCACCAGUGAAGAAGCCAGAGAUGGUUUAUUUGGUCAUCCCAAUAAUACAUCUUAUUGUUAAUUAACUCUCAAGGGUUUUUUUUCACAAUUUUAGAAAAGGUUUAAGCAAAUGAAUUAUUUAACAUGAAUUGGCUAUGUGACCCUACUAUAAGGUGUUUAAAACACCAACAGCUUAAACUUCUUAGAUCAAAGGACAUCCUCCAGGCCAAAAUGUUUCCACUGGAACGGUUUCUUUGCUUCCUGAUUAAAAGCUUCCCUAAUAUAUUUCCACGUGUUAUUACAUAUUUUCGUAUUCACUUUGAUGGAAAGCAAGAAUAGCAGCCAAAUACAUAUUUCAUGCAUUCUUUUGAUUAAAAAUGAUAAAGGUAAUAUUAGUGUUUUUUUCUUUCUCACCUCCAAUUUAUGAAGUGGAAAUAAUUUUCCAUGGAAUGGCCAACUAAAGAAAAGAAAUAUGAUAAAUUCAGAUCAUAUCAUUGUUCCAUUUAUCCUUGUACCCUGUCUGUGACAGAAUACCUGAUGUUUGGGAUAUAACAAAAAUAGAUGCAUAGAAUCAUAGAGUUUAAGAAUGUAAAAGACUUUUGAAAUCAGCCAUUCUAAUACCCUAAUUUUUAAGAUAGACAAAAAAUGGUCUCCGGAAGGAUAAAUAGUCUAACAAAGGUCAUGCAUUGAGAACAAACCUAAUAUGAGCCAAGAUGGCCGAAUAGGAACAGCUCCAGUCUACAGCUCCCAGCGUGAGCGACGCAGAAGACGGGUGAUUUCUGCAUUUCCAUCUGAGGUACCGGGUUCAUCUCACUAGGGAAUGCCAGACAGUGGGCGCAGGUCAGUGGGUGCGCGCACCGUGCGCAAGCCAAAGCAGGGGGAGGCAUUGCCUCAGUCGGGAAGUGCAAGGGGUCAGGGAGUUCCCCUUCCGAGUCAAAGAAAGGGGUGACGGACAGCACCUGGAAAAUCGGGUCACUCCCACCCGAAUACUGCGCUUUUCCGACAGGCUUAAAAAACGGCGCACCACAAGAUUAUAUCCCACACCUGGCUCGGAGGGUCCUACGCCCACGGAAUCUCGCUGAUUGCUAGCACAGCAGUCUGAGAUCAAACUGUAAGGCGGCAGCAAGGCUGGGGGAGGGGCGCCCGCCAUUGCCCAGGCUUUCUUAGGAAAACAAAGCAGCCGGGAAGCUCGAACUGGGUGGAGCCCACCACAGCUCAAGGAGGCCUGACUGCCUCUGUAGGCUCCACCUCUGGGGGCAGGGCACAGACAAACAAAAAGACAGCAGUAACCUCUGCAGACUUAAAUGUCCCUGUCUGACAGCUUUGAAGAGAGCAGUGGCUCUCCCAGCACGCAGCUGGAGAUCUGAGAACGGGCAGAGAACGGGCAGACUGCCUUCUCAAGUGGGUCCCUGACCCCUGACCCCCGAGCAGCCUAACUGGGAGGCAACCCCCCAGCAGGGGCACACUGACACCUCACACGGCAG